rnacentral:rRNA from 1 species
AAAGCUAGGGUAGCGAACAGGAUUAGAUACCCUGGUAGUCCUAGCUGUAAACGUUGUGCACUGGAUGUGGCCGGGAUUUUGGUCCCGUCUGGUGUCUGAGCGAAGGCGUUAAGUUCACCGCCUGGGGACUACGGCCGCAAGGCUAAAACUCAAAGGAAUUGACGGGGGCCCGCACAAGCGGUGGAGCAUGUGGCUCAAUUCGAGGCAACGCGAAGAACCUUACCUGGGUUUGACAUAUACCUGACCGCCGGUGAGAGCCGGUUUCUCUUUGAGCAGGUAUACAGGUGCUGCAUGGCUGUCGACAGCUCGUGCUGUGAAGUGUUCGGUUAAGUCCGGCAACGAGCGCAACCCACGCUGUUAGUUACCAUCAGGUGAAGCUGGGGACUCUAACAGGACUGCCCGUGCUAAGCGGGAGGAAGGCGUGGACGACGUCAAGUCCGCAUGGCCCUUACGCCCAGGGCUGCACACGUGCUACAAUGGCCGGUACAGAGGGUCGCCACUCUGCGAAGAGGAGCUAAUCCCGANAACCGGCCCCAGUUCGGAUUGGAGUCUGCAAUUCGACUCCAUGAAGUAGGAAUCGCUACUAAAGGCGUAUCAGCAACGCCGCCUUGAUCCUGUUCCCGGGCCUUGUACACACCGCCCGUCACAUCAU